AUUGAACGCUGGCGGCAGGCCUAACACAUGCAAGUCGAGCGGAUGAAGGGAGCUUGCUCCUGGAUUCAGCGGCGGACGGGUGUGUAAUGCCUAGGAAUCUGCCUGGUAGUGGGGGAUAACGUCCGGAAACGGGCGCUAAUACCGCAUACGUCCUGAGGGAGAAAGUGGGGGAUCUUCGGACCUCACGCUAUCAGAUGAGCCUAGGUCGGAUUAGCUAGUUGGUGGGGUAAAGGCCUACCAAGGCGACGAUCCGUAACUGGUCUGAGAGGAUGAUCAGUCACACUGGAACUGAGACACGGUCCAGACUCCUACGGGAGGCAGCAGUUGGGAAUAUUGGACAAUGGGCGAAAGCCUGAUCCAGCCAUGCCGCGUGUGUGAAGAAGGUCUUCGGAUUGUAAAGCACUUUAAGUUGGGAGGAAGGGCAGUAAGUUAAUACCUUGCUGUUUUGACGUUACCAACAGGAUAAGCACCGGCUAACUUCGUG
rnacentral:rRNA from 1 species